ensembl:snoRNA small nucleolar RNA SNORD91 family
UAGAGAAGUCAAUGAUGGUUUAACCCUACAUGUCUGAACCUGUCUGAGCAUCUCAAUGAUGCAACCUGUGUGGUUCUGAGACUUCUCUGAGA